rnacentral:rRNA from 1 species
AUUGAACGCUGGCGGCAGGCCUAACACAUGCAAGUCGACCGAUUGGCGGACGGUUGAGUAAUUUCUGGGCACCUCCCUGAUGCAGGGGGUUACCUACUGGAAACGUUACCUAAUCCCGCAUACCAUCGGAUGUACCCAUAUGGGUUUAGCUGGUAGGUGGGGUAACGGCUCACCUAGGCGACGAUCCCUAGCUGGUCUGAGAGGAUGACCAGCCACACUGGAACUGAGACACGGUCCAGACUCCUACGGGAGGCAGCAGUGGGGAAUAUUGCACAAUGGGCGCAAGCCUGAUGCAGCCAUGCCGCGUGUAUGAAGAAGGCCUUCGGGUUGUAAAGUACUUUCAGUGGGGAGGCGUUACCCGAAGAAGAAGCACCGGCUAACUCCGUGCCAGCCGCCGCGGUAAUUC